rnacentral:lncRNA from 1 species
AGUAUCCGCGGUAGCGAUAUAUGGGACGAAACCCGAGACGCCUAGAACUUGUGUGCCUGUUCGGCACAUGACUCUAUCGAUCUUCACUUUAUAUCAUGUCGAAGUGAGCCAACUUCGACGACUCUAUUGAGCACGGUUUGACUUCGUGCAACCAUGUGUACAUUCUUAGUGCUGUGAGCUUUCUCCAUGGCCAUAUCGGCAAAUAAAGGUUCCUCCGAACCCGAACCUAACACAAAUAAUCACAUCUAAUGCAAUUCGUCAACCGUCCCUCUUAUCUCAAACCUUCCGAAGUACUCAAGUGAGGGUACCCCACGCCGUCGAUCGACCCCUCGUAGUCAAAUGAACACCAAAGUGAAAGGCACUGCAAAUACCUCAGAAAACGACAACCAUCCGAGGCAUACUCCGUUGAGUUCCCUGGGUGACCCUCCUCACCUCACACAUAAGGUUCGUGAACCCAGAGAAUAGAACUCAUGAGGCUGGCCACUAUGACCAGGUGUACUGCUGGCAUCCAUCAAGUAUGGGCAGUUAAGCCACGCAUGAGUUCUACCAUGAACCUCUUCGCAAAACACUUUCACCCCAUUCGAUGACAUAGGAGCAGAAAAUCAAGAGAACUACUGCGGAUUGAGCUAGUAGAGUUCCGAGUGAAGAGACCCUAUGCCCACUAGAUUUGCCUUAGACCGAGAAAACUCAGAACCUUUGGGAGAAUAGUUGCGGUAGGUGCUCGCACUACUCCUGCACCUUGCCCACCCAGUUAUAGGCAGGUAGUGCUUAUCAUCCUCCACCCUCUCACAAGGAGGAAAAUCGUCGUCGCCUCGUAGAUGAUGAAUCAUAUUUCCCGAGGUAAACACUAGAAUACCGAGAACCACAGGGUAACCUUCGCAGCCAAGAAUACUUGGUCAAGUGCGAAAGUAGUUGCGUUAAAUCUCAUGACACGGAUCCCGAAAAGAUUAUAGACUCGACACCAGCCUUGGUGUUAGUCGAGGGAUUACGUCGGAGCACGCACUUUCCACGCUAGAAUAAACCACAGUCUUAGAGAUUCCUUGGACUAAUAGGUGUUCUCCGAAUACUAUCUCAAGCAGAGAUAGUAGAACUACCUCGCGAGAUAGUCCAACACUCGUCUGGUGAAACCCUAUCUCCCCGAUUCUCAGGGUUUCCGUAUCUCAAGCGUCGUUAGUGCAGGUCCAUUUUGCACAAGCUGGAGAUAGACACUCUAUAGCAAACCGAUGACCAUAGUCGCGCAACCCACUUGACGAUCUAGGAAGCCUCUAUCAUCCAGUGGAAAGAAAGCAUGAAACUGAAGACCACUUGAGAUUCCUAAGAACCAACCCGAAGGACUACACUACCAGUACGAGAGAGAACGUUAGGAACUUCGGAAUGGCGAUCACGCCAGUGAUGAUCUUGCCAUAGAAGUACACUAUGUUCUAAGUACUGAAAGGCUCUACCCUUCCUAGAGCGUAGGACCAUCCGGGAAUCCUCAUGGAAAUUUGGUCCAAUCCUUUUCAGACCACUACUACUUUCGGAUAUACCACAAGAUUCACAUUCGACCGAUCCACUUCUUAGACUUGAUAUGCGAUUAUCCGACAACACUCUUCGUGCCUCACUCAUCUUGAUAGAAUCCAUCGAGAACCCUGACUUCAUAGAUACACCAGUCGGAACCCGCUAGCUACACUAGACGGAAUGCGCAUCCCGUAUGUGAAGAUCUGUGGGAAGGACAAACACAGACUAGAGAUCACUUGGGAAUGCGAGGGCAACCGUAUAGGAAGUACUCCCUCAUCUCUACUUGGCCAUUCAUGCCUACUUCCUUGUCUAGACUUGAAUUUCGGGACGAAAUUCCCUCUAACGGGGGGAUGUUGUGACAACCCAAGUUGUCCCGUUACAUUUCCCCGUUACCGUUAACGGAAUAUUCCACUGUAUAAAAGUUCCGUUAAUUAGAGGGCAUCAAUUUAAUAAACAUUCCAUUUGGUUACCUUUAACAUGCCGUUAAGUCGUGAUAAAAGGGAAUAAAAACUCAAGACACACAUUUCCAUUUAUUGAGGAAAUGUCAAGUUUUAUUAUUACGACCACUAAAUCGGGUGCGACCAAAAGCCCCGUUUAACGGCAGUAUCGGGUAAAAUUCCACUGAGCCCCGACUGUGAAACCUAUAUAAGGGUGAGUGGAGUCAAAUGGGAGACUUUUUACACUCUCUCUCUAUACUCUCUCUCUAGACCCGUUUUCGCCCCGAAUUCGCAACCAAACGCUUCCAAAUUGUAAGUCCGCUUACCCUAACUUAUUCUAAGCGUAUUGAUUUAUGUUUAUAGCCCAAAAAUCAUCCAAGAAGGCAUAAGAUAAGGAGUUUACGGCCCAGGAACAUUCUAGGGCCGUAAACCCCUAAAAAGGUGUUAAAAAUGCCUUUAAACUUGACCAUGAGCUUAGAAACUAUUAGGGGAUAUAGCCUAGGGGUGUUUAAACACUAAAAUGCAUGGAUUUAGGACUCAAAGAAGAGUUUACGGCCCAAGCACAUGCUUAGGCCGUAAACUCCACAAGUUAGGGUCCCAAAUGUGCACCAAACUCAUCCUAGGGCUUAUUACAUAUUUUAGGGACUUAUUCCUUUGAGUUUAGGACACUAGAACACUCCAAAAUGAAUUAAAGAAAGGAGUUUACGGCCCAUGAAUAGUCAAGGCCGUAAACUCCCUAAAAUCAUGCCCAAAAGUGUGAUUUUGCCCCCCUAAUGGCCUUAGACAUUUACCAUAAAAUGCUAGAAUGGAAUUAAAGGCUUAAACACAAGAAAAAUGAGACAUUUCUUGGAGUUUACGGCCCAAGCAUUUUCUAGGCCGUAAACUCCCCUAAAACCCCCUCAAAUGUUGGUUUUAAUCCUCCAAAAUAGCAUCACACUUCAUUAGAAAUCACUAGAAAGGCAUUAGAGGCUUGAAACUUCACUAAACUCAAAGAUUGAGAGUUUACGGCCGUAAACUCCCUUGGGAGAGUUCUUAGGCCGUAAACUCCUAUAAAAUACCUUUAGAAGCCUCAAAUCCAAUCAUGCCUUUGAUGAAAAGUGCUUAGAAUAAAUCAAGGAACAAGCUAGAAGCAUCAAAACCCCAAGAACAUGACCUUGGGAGUUUACGGCCGUAAACUCCCUUAGGUUGGGCCGUAAACUCCUUGUUUGGUCCAUAUUGAUGCUUUAAACCCCUUUACACCCUUGAUACUUGAGCAUAGCAAAGUCCCACAGCUGAUAGGAGACCCUUAGCACCCUUAAACGCUACCCGGGACCCCAAACACUCAACCAAAAGUGUUUUCCACUCCUUUGAGUGUGUAUAAUUGUUUAAUUAGUAUAUUAUAUGCUAAUUGUAUGUGAACAUAUGUUAUCAUAUGUUAAAAUAGGUCCUUGUGUGUGUUCAAGUCCUUGCGUGACCCCGAACGCCUAAACGGCACUACCGUCGGACCUACUUAUACCAGGUGAGUUCAUACCCCUGAAUGAACCUUUUUAAUGCUUUUAAAUGUUUUCAUAGGGGGGGAUUACAAGUUAAACAUGCCAGUUAUCAUAUCAAUCACAUGUGAUUGAUAACCCGCAUGCACAAGAUUUUACCACUGUACACUGUUUUACCGAGUAGGACACUAUAAAUGGCUUUCAAAAAGGGUUUUUAAAUUGUUCAAGUUCUUACUUUCAUAGCUUAUCAAAGACUCAUUUCAACUGAUUUAUAAAAGAUUCUCAAAGAUUUCUAAAGAUUUUCACACCUAUUUUAUCAAAGAAUACAAAUGCGAUUUUCCUGAGUAACAAAAUCUUUAAGGGUUUUUCAUGAAUACUUUUAAUUGUUAGAUACCACUGCUUCGCUUAUACUUAUUUUAUGCUCCUACUCUGUAAUGUUUUUGCUUAUACCUGAAGUCACUUAUACCUGAUAACGCUUAUACUUAUUUACCCUCUUACUUAGUGAUACGAUUCUACUUCGCUUGUAUUUGAGAUCGACUUUACUUCACUUAUACUUGAUACGCUCUUACUUCACUUGUGGUCAUAUCUACUUCGCGAUGCGCCUAUACUUAUUCGACACUUAUACUUCACUUGCGACCGCUCUUACUUCACUUAUUAGACACUCCUACUUCACGAGAAUCACUUUCACUUGAUACCCACUUAGUCAUAGUUAGAUGUAUGUCCGUACUUAUAUAGGUAUAUAUAAGUAAUGACUGAAAGACUUAGGAAGGCUCAUCGGCCCUAUUUCCUUUUCUUCGUUGAGAUGUGGUCUGGUGGGAUCGGGUAGCCGUCCGAAGGUCGUUUGGUCCAUUAGUUAAAUACUAUGUAUAUGAGUAUGGACAUAUAGGGAAUUCUCUAGUCAAGUCAAUUAAGAGUCUCUUCUUCUAUUCUACACUCACUUUAGAAACACACUACCCACUGCUUGGAAGUCUCUACCGCUAGAAUAUCACUUGUGUUAGAAACCCACUCCUCUCAAGAAACACACUAUUCUCUAUUUGGGAUGCAUCUUCGGGACGCGGCCUUCUCCGUCGUCUAGUUGGUAACCAGAGUCUCCUGUAGGGAGAGCGGACAUUGUGUGUAUAGGCCUAUACGGGAUUGACAACCCCGCACCCUGACUGCUAGCUACAGUCCACGGCCCACCAAGCCAAGGGGUGACAAAUGUCAUAUUAUAUAGAUGCUUGUAGGGCGUCUGGAACUCUAGUCAGUAUGGUUACGAGUAUCCUGGGUUGCCUUAUAAUUCAUGGCUUUAAGGUAACGGUAUUUUCGUCAGCAAUUUACACUGUAUGCUGAUGUCACUUUUCAGAGUCACUCUGUUUCGACCUUGCUAGCUGUAUCUUUCAUUUGAUACUGUCUGGGGUCUAUAAUCUCUGUUUCGACCUUGCUAGCUGUAUCUUUCAUUUGAUACUGUCUGGGGUCUAUAAUCUCUGUUUCGACCUUGCUAGCUGUAUCUUUCAUUUGAUACUGUCUGGGGUCUAUAAUCUCUGUUUCGACCUUGCUAGCUGUAUCUUUCAUUUGAUACUGUCUGGGGUCUAUAAUCUCUGUUUCGACCUUGCUAGCUGUAUCUUUCAUUUGAUACUGUCUGGGGUCUAUAGUCUCUGUUUCGACCUUGCUAGCUGUAUCUUUCAAUUGAUACUGUCUGGGGUCCGUAGUCUUUGUUCUGACCUUGUGAGAGAUACCUUUCAUUUGGUAUCGUCUUCGGUCUAUAUUUACUGUUUUAGACCUUACCAGUUGUACCUUUCGUUUGGUACCUUCUGGGGUCUAUGUCUCCCCUUUGUUAGACUAAACCAGGCGUGUCGUCAGUUCGAUACCCUCCUGGAGUCUAUGAUUCUUUGCCUUAGUCAGCAGUCCUCACUGCUGAGGCAUAUGUUAUUCCCUGAUGUCUCCUGCUUUCUUAAAUAAUCAAAUUCAGUAUUUUGAUAACAAUGUCAAUUAAGGGAAAACUACCUCUUACCACAAUGCACUGAAACAGUCUUGGUAGAAGGCUGCUUUAUUUAAAGAAAAUAUAGGAUUUUCUGGAAAGGACACUGAAGCACUGAAAGCACUUAAACUACUACUUAUUAAAGUUAUUUGACUAAAUGACACUAAAUGCUUAUGAACUCACCAGCAUUUGUAAAAAAAAAUGCUGAUACUCGCUUUUCAAAUAACUUGUAAUCUUAGGUAAGCAAUUAGACAGGUACAUCCCCGGAGCUGCUGAUGAAGAUGGCCUAAGUACCUUGCUGCACUUCAUAUAUGUUGCUUGUAUUACUUUGAUACUAUGUAAUGUAACCAUGUAAAAUUAUUACUAUUAAUGCAAUGUUUUGUUGUACUUUGAUUACUAUAUGCAUGUGUUGUGAUACUUGACAUGACGUCAUCUACCCCAGAACGUUUCCGCCGUUCCGGUUUUGGGGUGUGACAGUUUUUUUAUUGUUCAAUGAUAUUUUCAUUAUUUUCUCUAGUCAUCAUACUUUCUAAGAAAUCUUUUUGCAGAUUGAAGGGGGAAAUGGGAAAAGAUGGGUACUCAUCUAUACAGUCACUGGGUUCAAUGAGUUACAUCGAAAUAAUGGAUAGUGGGUAUGGUAAUGAUACAUGCAUAUCGAGUGGAAACAUAUCUGGAAGUAGUUUCAUAUGUGUAUUAAGUUAUGAUAUUGACUCCUUUUUAAGCAAGUCUAAAGGUUGUUGUUGGGUUUAACUUUUAAUGAUAUGAUUGUAUCAAGAAAUGAUCUAUAUAAUUAUAACUAUAACCAAUAUGAUUUUUUUCAGUUAAACCAAGUGAAACUGCAUAGUAAAGGAAUGAGUAUGAAGCUAGGUAAGGGAAAAACAAUUCCUAGAAUCAUGAAAUGUUGAAGCUGAAGUGAUUAUGGAAUAUGUAUGUGCAAAUGGUGGUAAUAAUCCAGGUAGAUUUGUGACUAUUGGAAAUAUAUUACGAAGAUAAGGAUUUUUUUUUCUUGGUAGCUGGAAUUAAGUCUAAUUAAGAUUAUAUUUUAAUCGCAUCAACUUAAUGAAAGAAGUUGAAGUGAUGAAUGGGUUACCUUUGAAGCAUAUCAUAUACAUCAAUUUGCUAGAAUAAUAACUCAUACAUAACAAUAAUCAAUUCCUUAAAUUAUUACAUUUAUUGUACUUUAAUAAUUAUAUGUGAUUUGGCUAUGGGGCAAUUUUUGUUAACAUUUUAAACUAGAUAUCAUUUUUUGUUGGCAUAUUGUUGUUUUUUUUAAUCACAUGUAUGAUGUUUAUACAUAAUAAGGUAACGUACUUUCAUUUUAAUGUUUAUUUUUCUAUUAUUUUGGAACCUUUUUACUUGAAAGGCCAAUCUGCUUUAUUUUUUGGGUUUCUACUCACAUGGUAUCCUUUUGAGCAUCAAAAAGCAAUGUACUUUGACUUUAUUUGGUUUUUUAUCAACUAUUAUGGUUGUGUGUCAAAAGAAAAUGAAUUUUUAUUGGUUUUAAAUUCAUGUCAUCUGUUUUAGUAUUUGUGUACCUCACCCACAAAAAAACGAUGAAACAAUAAAACAAUAAAGCAACGUACUUUCAUUUGUGUACCUCAUCCUCGUGCAAAGCACAUGCAUUUUGACUAGUUAUAUCAUUAAAAAAAUAGUUAUUAAAAGGUUGAUGUGACUUGGAUGAUGUAGGAUUUUUUUACAAAUUUAAGUAAUCUAAACUAAUAUGCAUUUUUUUGGACAAAUAACCAUUUUAUUUGUAAAAUGACCACAUUGUUUGGAACAAUGUGUUCCGGAGUGGAGUACAAAAUCCUAAACCAACAUUCUGGAGUGGUAUUUCAAAGUUGUUUUCAAAAUUUGUAAAUUUAACUUAACUGUUGUUCAUAUGUAGUUUGUUCAUUUUUGUGUUUAAUUAUGGUUUAGUGGCCGUUAAAUUUUAUAUGGGUUUUGAAAAAGAAAUUGUAUAUAUUGCAAAAAGUAACAGAACAAUGCAUGAAAAUUCAUAAUCUAUUGCAAAAGUUAUCACUACAUAAACUUAUAUAUGUUUUAAUUAAUAAUACAAUAUGAAAAUGGACCCUUAUUUUUUCUUUGUAUCCUACACGAUUUAUGCAAAUCGCUUUCGAUAUGACAUGGUCCACGUCUUAGUGGAACCCUUAAUCCUCACAGAUUUCCAACGAUCAACCUCUCUUGAAAUCAAUAUAACAACACUCCACAAUCCCCUUUAUCACUACAUUGUUAUGGUACAUAUGCGCCUUCAUAAUAGUGACUUUGAAACUCGCAUGUGGGGAUUACAUCCAUGGGUUUGUUACUCCAAUAGUUGAUACCCACUAGGAGUUGGUGGACACUGGAUCACAUAGUUAUAAACCAAGAUGCAGAUUUUGAAAAAUAUAUAAACCAAGAUGCAUAUUUUGAAAAAUAUUUGUCAUUCCAGUAUGUAUCAUAUAUAGUCAAUCUGAAUGUUUAAAAAUCCAAAAAACCAGAAACGAGUGGCCAUGUGAUAUAUUAAUAGGGAUGUAUAGUUGCAUAAAAGGUUGGAAUCAAAUAAUCAUCAUAUAAUAUUUUCUUAUAAGUGACUAUUAAUUACUCAAGUAAUGUAAUUGAAAAACAAGUAUAUCAUAUACCACUCAAAAUAAGUAAAGUAAAUGGAUCGGCCAUGUCAUAAUUGAUGGGUUUUAGCCAUAAGAACUUUCCUAUGUGCGCAUGCAAAACCCUAAUGCUUGGAUCUAGGCUUUCUAAUAAACAUGCAUUGAAUCCAAGUCUUCUAAUGACUAAUUAGGUUAAACAAGAACAUUGAAACAGAUCUAGAAUCAUACCUUUGAGUUCCUUGUUGAUCUUGAGGUCUUGGAGCUUCUAGAGUCACAAGUGUCACUCCUCUAAUGGCUUACAAACACCAAAGCAAGGAGGAUGAUUUGGGAGAGAGGAGAGGGGAGGAAUUCGACCAGAGGUUCCUUACUUUAGGUCAAGUGUCGAAUUCCAUCAGCCAUGGGGUUUAUUUAUACUUGUAGACUCCUUAAGGAUUACAGAUAAGUCCCUAUCAGAUAAUCUUCUCUUAAGGCUAUCCAAAUCCAUUCCUAGAUAACUCUAAUGGACGAUUUUAGCUAUCCUAAUCCUAUUAGAAUUCGUCCAUAGUAUAUCCAAAUGGAUUUACAGUUUAAAGCUUAACUAUCAAACAAUUGACAGUUUAUACCCCUUUACUUAAUUAAUCUCUUUAAGUCACCAAAUUAAUUCUAAUUAAUUCUAUGACUUAUAUUAAUCAAAUAACAAAUAUAUUAUUCAUUAUAUUAUUCACAUAAUAUAUUAAUAAUAUUUAUUCUCUCUUAAUAAAUCAUCCUAUCAAGUUGCUAUGGUGAAGGCAACCCAAAAGGACCAUGCACAACCGGAUAUAGUUACAGCCUUAGACACUAUUCCAACAGUCUCCCACUUGGAUAAGUCUAGUAACUAUACAAGUACAAUUCGGUUUGCAAUCGUAGCUCUCAAAGACGCUGUCAACUCUGAUCUAAUCAAUCUUGUCCUUUAGAUAAGGGAACGUACAGUCCUCUGUUAGAUAUCAUGCUGACAAUCCUAUGGAAUGGUUAGUCAAGCAUUUAGGUUUCUCGAUCUCUGAUUUAUUUGACAUAGAACUUAAUCGAACACAUCAAUUCAGUUCUGACCGGGCCCGGCACAUAAGUCAAAUCAAAUCAUCGAGCGGCCGAGAUAUCGCUUUUACCUUCUUAGAUAAAAGUUACAGAUAAACUUCGACUUAUAUGCAUUUACUUAUUCAUUAACCAACUAUACACAACAAUACGUUUUAUAACACCAAGUUACUGAUGCGUUUUCGUAUUAUCAAUGUACAAUCAAUUAACAAAUAAUAAACCAUAUAUCUAGGUUUUAAGACUAUAUGAUAUUAUCGUCUUGCGAUCACCUUUUAUAUCGUAUUCCAUAAGGUGAUUCCAGCAAGCGCGGGUUUAUUCCAAUGCUCAAAACUAGUUCAUAAGCACUCAUGAACGUUGCAGCAAUCCUUUGCUAUGUCUAACACCAUUUAGACAUUCUACACACCAAUUCAUGACAAUCUUCUUUCAUAUCUACUCCCAACAUAUGAACGAUUGUGGACCAUUUGAAUAAUUCGAUUAUUCCUAAUAAACUCAAUUAUUCUGGAAGUCAAAACAUGCAAAGUGAAACAAUAGCUAAACAAUUAACAUAAGAUAGUAACAUUACUCAUAAAUAAAACUCCUUUAUUUAAUCAUCAAAUGUCAAUUACAUUUAUCUAUUACACGUUUCUAAUACUAUCUAAUCUAUGCUAAUAUCAUCCUUCAGCCCAAUACUCCUAGCAUGCUGCAAGUGCUUAACCCUACUCAGUCCCUUCGUAAGCGGAUCUGCUGGGUUAUCUUCUGAUGAUAUCCUCUUCACUACGAGUUGUCCUUCUUCUACACGAUGUCUAAUGAAGUGAUACUUUCUGUCGAUAUGUCUUGAUCUACCAUGAUCCCUCGGUUCCUUGGUUAAGGCAACCGCACCUUCGUUAUCACAGAAAAUCUCCAUUGGCUCCUUUAUGGCAGGUACGACUCCAAGAUCACCGAUGAAGUUCUUUAGCCAUAUUGCCUCCUUCGACGCUUCGCUCGCUGCAAUGUACUCUGAUUCGCACGUUGAAUCAGCUACGGUUUCCUGCUUGGAACUCUUCCAUGUCACUGCUCCUCCAUUUAGGGUAAAGACCCAGCCCGACUGCGAACGGUAGUUGUCCCUGUCGGUCUGAAAACUGGCGUCACUAUACCCUCGCACCUUCAAGUCAUCACUCCCUCCGAGGACUAAGAACCAUUCCUUCGUCCUCCGAAGGUACUUAAGGAUAUUCUUCACCGCAAUCCAAUGUGCUUUGCCAGGAUUCCCUUGAUAUCUGCUAACCAUGCUCAAAGCGAAGGCUACAUCAGGGCGAGUACAAGUCAUAGCGUACAUGAUUGAGCCAACUGCGGAAGCGUAUGGUACUCGGCUCAUUUCUGCUAUCUCAGCUUCGGUACUCGGACUUUGAGUCUUACUCAAUUUGGCAUUACUUUGUAUCGGUAGUUCUCCCUUCUUUGAGUUUUCCAUACUAAAACGUUUUAGUACCUUCUCUAAGUAAGUAUUCUGACUAAGUCCAAUUAGUCUCUUACUUCUUUCUCUUACUAUCCUUAUUCCCAAAAUGUAAGAAGCCUCUCCGAGGUCCUUCAUAGCGAAGCACUUCCCGAGCCAGGACUUAACCUCCUGCAGAGUCGGGAUGUCGUUUCCUAUGAGUAAUAUGUCAUCGACAUAUAGAACGAGGAAGCUUACUAUACUCCCACUGGCUUUGACAUAUACACAAGAUUCGUCUUCGCUUCGUACAAAUCCAAACUCUUUGACUUUCUCAUCGAAGCAAAGAUUCCAUCUGCGAGACGCUUGCUUAAGUCCAUAAAUGGACUUCUCAAGCUUACACACUCUAUUCGGAUGCUUCGGAUCCACAAACCCCUCUGGCUGAGCCAUGUAAACAUCCUCAGCCAACUUUCCGUUAAGGAAAGCGGUCUUGACAUCCAUUUGCCAAAUCUCAUAAUCAUGAAAUGCGGCAAUUGCUAGCAUCACUCUAAUAGAUUUAAUCUUCGCAACUGGUGAGAAGGUCUCAUCAUAGUCAACUCCGGGAGUUUGAGUAAAGCCCUUCGCAACCAAUCGCGCUUUAUAUGUGUGUACGUUUCCAUCCACGUCGGUCUUCUUCUUGAAGAUCCAUUUGCACCCAACGGUCUUACGUCCGGGCACAUAAUCAACCAAAUUCCAAACUUGGUUAUCAUACAUGGAUUGGAUCUCGCUAUCCAUUGCCUCUUUCCAUUUUGCAGACUCCGGGCCUGCCAUGGCUUCCUUAUAGCUAUUAGGUUCAUCAAGAUUUAUUAGUGUACCAUCACUAAUAUACGUGUCCCCUUCGGUAGUAAUAUGAAAACCAUAAAACUGGGGUUGAACUCUAACUCUAUCGGAACGUCUAAGAGGUAAGGAUUCGUCAAUCGGUUCAACCGGAGUUUCCUCCUCGGGUUGAGUGCCAGCGGUAGAGGUUCCUUCAUCUAUCGACUCUUGAAUCUCUUCAAGCUCGAUUUGCCUCCCACUGUCUCCUUGGCUUAUGAGUUCUCGCUCUCGGAAAACUCCUCUCCUCGCAACGAAGACAACAUUGUCCUUCGGUCUAUAGAAGAGAUAUCCAAAGGAUGUCUGCGGGUAGCCGAUGAAAAUACAUCGCUCACUUCGAGGUUCAAGCUUGUCGUGAGUAUCUCGUCUUACGAAAGCCUCGCAACCCCAAACCUUGAUAUGUGCCAACGAGGGAGCUUUCCCUGUCCACAUCUCGUGAGGUGUUUUGGCAACCUUCUUAGUAGGGACUCGGUUAAGGAUAUGGGCGGCAGUCUCUAAGGCAUACCCCCAAAAAGAGAUAGGUAGUGAAGCACGACUCAUCAUAGAGCGAACCAUAUCCAAUAAGGUUCGAUUACGCCUUUCUGCCACACCAUUCAACUGCGGUGUCCUAGGAGGCGUCAAUUGCGAAACUAUUCCACACUCCUUGAGAUAAUCGUGGAAUUCAAGACUUAGGUACUCUCCUCCUCGAUCGGAUCGAAGCAUCUUGAUUUUCCUGCCCAAUUGAUUCUCCACUUCAUUCUUGAACUCUUUGAACUUUUCAAAGGUGUCUGACUUUUGCUUGAUUAAGUAGAUAUACCCAUAUCUACUAUAGUCAUCGGUAAAAGUCACAUAGAAGCGGUUCCCAUCCUUCGUGGUUGAUCUAAACGGUCCACAUACAUCGGUAUGUAUUAGGUCCAAUAGACCCUCGCCCCUUUCACAUGUACUCGUGAAGGGUGACUUAGUCAUCUUUCCAAGCAAACAAGACUCGCAUGUGUCAUCUUCCCUAAGGUCGAAUGACUCCAACACUCCAUCCUUUUGGAGUUGGGCUAUGCGUUUCUUGUUGACAUGUCCAAGACGACAAUGCCACAAGGAUGCUUUAUCCAUACUAGUGGAAGAAUCAAUAUUCAAAACAUCAUUUCCUAAGUUAUCAACAAUCAUAACGGUUUCAUAUAUUCCAUUACAUGGUAUAGCUUCAAAGUAAAAGACACCAUUUAGAUAAGCCAAAAUAGAACCAUUCUCAUUAUUAAAAGAAAAUCUAAAUCCUUGUCUAUAUAAACCAUGAAAUGAAAUGAUGUUUCUUGCCAUUUCUGGCGAAUAGCAACAAUUGUUCAAAUCUAAAACUAAACUAUUCCUAAGCACUAAGGAAUACACUCCAAUCUUGGUCACAGGCGACGAUCUUCUGUUCCCCAUGAUUAGAUUGAUCCUUCCUUGCUCCACAUCCCUACUUCUUCUUAGUCCCUGCACAUUAGAACAAAUGUGAUAACCACAACCGGUAUCAAGAACCCAAGAAAUAGCAUGAUUAGAAUCGUUAGAUUUGAUUGUAUAUAUACCUGCGAAAGAUGGCUUGAUCUUUCCUUCUUUGAUUGCUUGCAGGUAAUCCGGGCAGCUUCUCUUCCAAUGUCCUAUCUUGUGGCAGUGGUGGCACUCUGCCUCCUUCGGGUUAGAGCAGGGCUUGGCGGGAUCAACUUUGGUCCCACUAGAAGAGGCACCAUCUCGGGCUUUCACCUUGCGAUAGUUCUUCGAUGAAGCUUUCCUCUUCUUUCCCUUCCCUUGUCCAAUAGCCAAGACAGGAGCAGCGGGCGGAUUGGGAGUAGGUGCAACAGACUUGUCUUUGAAGUUGCUCUCAGCAACCCUCAAGAGACCUUGGAGCUUGCUUAGGGUGACCUCUUCUUUGUUCAUGUGGUAGGUCAUCCUAAAUUGGUUGUACAUCGGAGGCAAAGAGUGAAGCACCAUGUCGAUCGCCAAGUCUUCACCGAAGUCAACAUUUAACUUGCGGAGGCGGUCAACAUACCUUUGCAUCUUUUGCAAGUGCACGGUAAGAGAUUCUCCAUGACCCAUCUUCGCGGAAAUCAUGUUAGUGAAAAUCUCGUACCUCUCUUGUCUCGCGUUUUGGUGGUACCUCUCCAAUAAGUCUUGAUGCAUCUCGUACGGGUACAUGUCCUCGUAGGACUUUUGGAAUUCGGAGUUCAUGGUGGCGAUCAUGAUGCAAUGUACCUUCGUUGCAUCUCGCUCAUGAGUUUCAAAGGCGGUGAUUUCGGCGGGAGUAGCAAUUUCGGGGUUGAUUUUCUCGAGCUUCUCAUCGAGGACAUACUCCUUAUCCUCAUAGCGAGCAAUGGUGCGAAUGUAUCUUAUCCAUUCGCUAAAGUUCGUUCCAUCGAAGGUGACCUUUUGGCAAAGGCUCAUCAACGUGAAAGAACUAGCAGCAGCGUUGUUUGCGUUCGACAUCUACAAUUAGAAAAGGACAAAGAUAGAUUAGAAUAAGAAUCCCUAAUUAUCACCCAAUAAGAAAAUUAGGGCUAGGAUCCAACAAUAACAUUUACAUACUAGAAAAGGGAUGCCGUAAUCUAACAUGCAAAUAAAUUGAAGGUAAGUGAAUGACGAUUCACUAAUUCUCCAUCACAAAACUUAAACUAUUAGUCCUAAGUGUUUUUGAGAAUUCCUAGGUUCGGAUGAGAUUCAUUGAAACUAUUCAAUGGCAUGUUUAAAUCUCGAUAUGCCCCUCUUGUUUGUGACUGGGAUGCCGAGGAUCACAAAGCGGGUGUGAAUUACCAUGCAAAUUCACAUGGUGCCUUCAUUGUAACAAUCACCUAUUCGAUGUGCCGGUAAACCACACACGCUCCAUCGAACUAUGAUAAACAAUGAAUCACCCUUUGCCACCUUCGCUUAGAACCAAUUAGUGUGCCGGUAAACCACACACGCUCCACUAACAUCUUAGCAAGGUGCAAAGUGUAAUUUCAUGGGAUUGCAUCAAUUCACUUUUCCUAAAGUAACUAGGAUUGGGAAAUUUUAAAAAAAUGUGUAGUUACUUUAUAUUUCUUAUUAUACUUUUAAUGAGAGGAUGAGGUUGCCCUAUCCUACCCGUUCGGCUAACGACCCUCCACCAAUCAAGCAAGCGGUGGGUGUGAGUGUACACCCAUUAAGCGCCAUUUUAUAGGCCGCAACCUUAUACCCACCUUAUAGAUCGGCUUCGUGAAUGAGGCCUACUAACGGUAAGACUAGCAUUUAGUUAUACAUAUAUAUAUUAUUCUAGUAAUAUCAUAUUAGUAUAGGGUUGUAUUUUAAAACUUUUAAAAUCUAGGGUUUGAAAUUUAAGUUGUCUAAAUUAAAACUUUUAAUCACAAAAGUAAAUUUCAAAACAUGAGGGUAGGUUUUAAACAUUUAAAACAUGGAGGAUCAAAUAACAAAUAAUUCCAAUUAACAAUUAAUAUCCUAAUUAUCUAUAUUUGAUUUAUUCAAGAUUUCUUUUAAAGAUAAUUACCAAAAUAAUCAAAAUAAUUAAUUAAUUAUCAUAUAAGGAAAUUAAAUAUUUAAUUAGUUGAUAAUUACCUUUAACUAGAUCAAGAUAAUAGUUAUAUUUAUCAGAAAAACGAAUUAAUGUUGAUCUAAUUAGUUUAUGGUAAGUUAAGAUAAGAUAAACACAAAGAAAUCCCGAAUCUGGCCAUUCCUGACGCCUGGACUCGCCGAGUGCACAAAUGGACUCGCCGAGUCAGGCCUACUCGCCGAGUCCACUUUGAGACUCGCCGAGUCCAUGACUCAGAAACCAAAAAUUCGAAUUUUGCAGGUUUGUUUCAGUUAAUCAAGCAACAAUUUACAGAAAACCAAGCUAGGCUCUGAUACCACUGAUGGGUUUUAGCCAUAAGAACUUUCCUAUGUGCGCAUGCAAAACCCUAAUGCUUGGAUCUAGGCUUUCUAAUAAACAUGCUUUGAAUCCAAGACUUCUAAUUACUAAUUAGGUUAAACAAGAACAUUAAAACAGAUCUAGAAUCAUACCUUUGAGUUCCUUGUUGAUCUUGAGGUCUUGGAGCUUCUAGAGUCACAAAUGUCACUCCUCUAAUGGCUUACAAACACCAAAGCAAGGAGGAUGAUUUGGGAGAGAGGAGAGGGGAGGAAUUUCGACCAGAGGUUCCUUACUUUAGGUCAAGUGUCGAAUUCCAUCAGCCAUGGGGUCUAUUUAUACUUGUAGACUCCUUAAGGAUUACAGAUAAGUCCCUAUCAGAUAAUCUUCUCUUAAGGCUAUCCAAAUCCAUUCCUAGAUAACUCUAAUGGACGAUUUUAGCUAUCCUAAUCCUCUUAGAAUUCGUCCAUAGUAUAUCCAAAUGGAUUUACAGUCUAAAGCUUAACUAUCAAACAAUUGACAGUUUAUACCCCUUUAUUUAAUUAAUCUCUUUAAGUCACCAAAUUAAUUCUAAUUAAUUCUAUGACUUAUAUUAAUCAAAUAACAAAUAUAUUAUUCAUUAUAUUAUUCACAUAAUAUAUUAAUAAUAUUUACUCUCUCUUAAUAAAUCAUCCUAUCAAGUUGCUAUGGUGAAGGCAACCCAAAAGGACCAUGCAUAACCGGAUCAAAUACUUGCCUAAUAUAGUUGCAGCCUUAGACACUAUUCCAACAAUAAUACUCCUCUACAUCUGUAUUGAAAGUUGUCAAUAAAAUUGUCCACUGAUCGAGGUCAUCAUCUCGAUCAAAAAUAAACUACACACACACACACUAGAUAGCUAGGGUAAGUAAGGGUCGAAUCAACGAGGAGUUUGUGGUCAAACCUUGUGUUGAACAUGUUUCUUCCCCAGUGGGUUAAACGUGUUUUCGGGUUUUGUGACUAUUUAAGGUGCAUUAUUACCAAUGGUUUGUCAUUCCUCAGCCUCCAUAAACCUUAAAAUGUUCCUUGAGUGAAACCCUAGUAGGUUGAACGUGUUUUAGGGUUUUGUGACUACGUACUCUGAUUCACACGUUUAAUCAGCCACAGUCUCCUAUUUGGAACUUUUCCAAGUUCUUUCUCCUCCAUUUAGGGUAAACACCCAACCCGACUGAGAAUGCAUAUUAUCUCUUUCAGUCUGAAAUCCGGCGUCACAAUACCCUAAUACUCUCAAGUCAUCACUCCCACCGAGAGUAAGGAUCCAAUCAUUAGUCCUCUGUAAGUACUUAAGAAUGUUCUUAACUGCAGUCCAAUGAGCUCUACCAGGAUUUCCUUGAUAUCUAAUGACCAUGCUUAAAGCAAAGGCCACAUCAGGGCGAGUACAAGUCAUAGCAUACAUGAUUGAGCCGACCGCCGAAGCAUAUGGUACUCGACUCAUUUCUGCUAUCUCAACCUCUAUACUCGGACUCUGAGUCUUACUUAGUUUGGUAUUGCUUUGGAUAGGCAAGUCAUCUUUCUUGGAGUUCUCCAUGCUGAAAUGCUUCAGCACCUUGUCCAAGUACGUACUUUGACUAUGUCCUAUUAGUAUCUUACUCCUGUCUCUUAAAAUCCUUAUCCCUAGGAUAUAGGUAGCUUCUCCAAGGUCCUUCAUAGCAAAACACUUCCCAAGCCAGGACUUGACUUCCUGCAAGGUCGAGACGUCAUUUGCUAUAAGUAAUAUGUCAUCCACAUACAACACGAGAAAUCUAACUAUCCUCCCACUAGCCUUGACAUACAUACAGGACUCAUCCUUGCUUCUCGAAAAUUCAAACUGUUUGACUUUCUCAUCGAAACAAAGAUUCCAACUGCGAGAUGCUUGUUUCAAUCCAUAUAUGGAUCUCUCAAGCUUACACACUCUAUUAGGGUAUCUUGCAUCGACAAAACCCUCUGGCUGACUCACGUAAACAUCUUCAGCCAACUUUCCAUUAAGGAAAGUAGUUUUGACAUCCAUCUACCAUAUUUCAUAUUUAUGAAAUGCAGCUAUGGCCAACAUAACCCUUAUAGAUUUAAUCUUUGCUAUUGGUGCGAAGGUCUCAUCAUAGUCAACUCCAUGAGUUUGAGUAAAGCCCAUUGCAACUAGUCGCGCCUUAUAUGUGUGUACUUUUCCAUCCAUGCCGAUUUUCUUCUUGAAGAUCCAUUUGCACCCGACGGUCUUUCGACCCGGUUCAUUGUCAACCAAGUUCCAAAACAUGAUUAUCAUAUAUGGACUGAAUCUCGCUAUCCAUAGCCUCCUUCCAUUUAGCAGAUUCAGGACCAGCCAUGGCUUCCUUGUAGUUGUUAGGCUUAUCCAAAUUCACCAAUGUACUAUCACUGAUAAAUGUAUCACCUUUUACAGUAAUAUGGAAACCAUAAUAAUACUCAGGUGCAAUCCUAACUCUGGUGGAAUGCCUCAGAGGUACAGAUUCGUCAAUAGGUUCAAUAGGAGUUUCUUCCUCGGGUUGAUCGCUAGUGUUUCAGGUUCCUUCAUCGAUUGAUACUUGAAGCUCUUCAAUGUCAAUUUGCCUCCCACUGUCCCCUUGGAAUAUAAGCUCUCUCUCACGAAAGGCCCUUCUCGUGACGAAAACAUCAUUGUCACUCAGUCGAUAAAAGAGAUAUCCAAAGGAUUUCUGUGGUUAGCCGAUGAAAAUACAUCGCUUACUCUGAGGUUCGAGCUUGUCGUGAGUCUCGCACCUCACGAAAGCCUCGCAACCCCAAACUUUGAUGUGAUCCAAAGUGGGAACUUUCCCAGUCCUCAUCUCAUGAGGUGUUUUGGUAACCUCCUUUUGCAGGGACUAGAUUAAGGAUAUGGGCAGAAGUCUCUAAGGUAUACCCCCAAAACGAGAUUGAUAACGAAGCUUGACUCAUCAUAAAACAAACCAUGUCCAACGAGGUUCGAUUGCACCUCUCAGCCGUGGUGUCCUAGGAGGUUUCAGUUGUGAAACAAUUCCACAUUCCUUAAGAUAGUUGUCGAACUCGAUACUAAGAUACUCUCCUCCUCGAUCGGAUGGGAGUAACUUUAUCUUCCUGCCUAAUUGAUUCUCCACUCCUGCCUUAAAAUCUUUGAACUUUCAAAGGUUUCUGACUUAUGCUUGAUUAAGUAGAUAUAUCCAUACCUACUUUAAUCAUCUGUAAAAGUCACAUAGAAGCGGCUAGCAUUUCUUGUGACAGAUCUGAAGGGCCCACACACAUCAUUGUGUAUGAGAUCAAACAAACCCUCACCCAUUUCACAAGUACCAGUAAAGGGUGACUUAGUCAUCUUUCCAAGUAAACAAGAUUCACAAGUGUCAUCCGAUUUCAAGUCGAAUGAUUCCAAGACUCCAUCCUUUUGGAGUUGGCCUAUACGCUUCUUGUUGACAUGUCCAAGACGACAAUGCCAUAAGCAUGCUUUAUCCAAAUCAUUGGAUGAAUCAAUAUGUAACACAUUAUUUCCUAGGUUAUCUACAACAUUCAUAGUUUCAUACACACCGUUACAAGGCAAAGCUUCAAAAUAAAAGACACCAUUAUAAUAAGCAUAAAUACCAACAUUAUUAUUAUUAAAAGCAAAGGUAAAAUCUUGUUUAUACAAACUGUGAAAGGAAAUAAUAUUUCUCGUAAUAUCGGCAGAGAAACAACAAUUAUUCAAAUCUAAAUUUAAACCAUUAUUAAUCAAUAAAGAAUAAACUCCAAUCUUGGUCACAGACAACACUUUCUUAUUUCCCAUGAUUAAGUUUAUCUUCCCGUGAUCCAUAUCCUUACUUCUUGUUAGUCCCUGCAAAUCAGAACAAAUAUGAAUACCACAACCAGUAUCAAGGACCCAAGAAUUAGCAUAUGAUGUUUCAUUAGAAUGAAUAGUGUAAAUACAUGCAAUGGAGGGCUUGAUUUUCCCACCCUUAAUAUCAUGCAAGUCCUUUGGGCAGCUUCGCUUCCAGUUCCCCUUUUCAUGGCAAUGGAAACACUCUGCUUCCUUUGGAUUGGUAGAGGGCACAACAGAACCAACUUUGGUUCCGCUAGAAGAAGAUCCAUCCUAGGACUUUGUUGGAUUAGUGUCUAUGUCCAUAACUAUUUUGGUAUGUACUUGACCCUAUUAUGAGCAUGGUCCUUUUGGGUUGCCUUCAUCAUAGCAAUAUGUAGGAUGAAUUAAGGAGAGAAAGGUUUAAUUAUGACUUGUUAAUAUAUUAUAAGAAUAAUAUAUUAAAUGAGAAACCGAAAUGUUUAAUUAAUAUUAGUCAAGAAUUAAUUUUGUGGCUAAAAGAGAUCAAUUAAACUUAAGGGACUUACUGUGCAAUUAUAAGAUAAUUACAUAGAUGAGCUUAUGGACUCCAUAGAAGGUGGAGUGGACGAAUUCUAUGGGGAAACCCAUUAGAAAUCAUCCAAGGCUUCUAAAGAAGGAGUCUAUGGGCUGCUUAGGGCUUAAGCAGUCAAAUUAGGGUUUCCUUGUUAGAUAACCCUAAUUGCCUAAGUAUAUAAGGAGCCCUUAGGCACCAAAAACAUGGUUAACUGAUUCCUUAGGGUUAUUAGACGUUUUUUGGGUGCCUCCUCUCUUCUCCUUCUUCAUCUAGUUGCUUAGUGGUGUUUGUGACUCCAUUAGAGGUGCAGCACUUGAGGCACUAAGCUUUCUAAAGCUAAGGAUUGAUAGUUAUUGUUAUAUAACAAUCUAAGGUCAGAUCUAAACUCUAUUUUAUGUUAAUAUGAUUAACUGUAUUCCAGAUCUAGGGUUUAUAGCUUUGGAUAUUCAAUUGCAUGUUCAUUAGACAAACUAGAUCCAAAAGCUAUUAGGGUUUGCAUGUACACCAUAUGAUUGAUGUUUUGCGGAAAACCCAUCAGUGGUAUCAGAGCCUAGGGUUGUUUGUUUGAUGUAUUUGAUGCGUUGGUUGAUUAUUCAUGCUUAAAAUCGAAUUUUUUUUGGUUCUGGUGGCUGGACUCGCAGAGUCCAUGGCUGAACUCGCCGAGUCCAUAGUGAACUCGACGAGUCCAUGCUUGACUCGACGAGUCGGAGUCACAGAUGGAAUGUAGAUUUCGGGAUUUUGACCUGUUUUAGUUGUAGAUAAUUACCUAAAACGUUUUAUAUUAAUAUAAUCUGACUUUUAUCAAUAUUUGGAAUUUAUCCUUGCCAAAAUUGAAGAUUAUUAAUAUAAUCUGACUUUUAUCAAUAUUUGGAAUUUAGAUAAUCUUUUGUUUUAUUAGAUAAAUAUUGAUUAUUUGUAAUUUAGAUUUGAAUUAUCAUGUGAAAAAGUUUCAAUUUCCUCCUUUAGGUUUUAUAGUUUAAAUUUAAACUUAAAAGUUUUGUUUUUGAAAUUUAAAUAGUUAAACCUCAAUGUUUUGAAAAGUUUCAAAACUUGCCCUCAAGUUUUGAUAUUUAAAAUUUUGAUUAAAAGUUUAAUUUUGAAAUGUUUAAAUUCUAAACCCCUAAUGUUUUGAAAUGUUUCAGAACCUACCCUCAAGUUUGGAAUUUAAAAGUUGAUUAAAAGUUUAAUUUUGAAAUUUUAAAUUCUAAAAACCCUAGUAAUUUGAAAAGUUCAAACCACAGCCUUAUGGUUUUAUUAAUUAAUUAAAGUGUAUAAUUAAAAAAGAUUNAUGGUUUUAUUAAUUAAUUAAAGUGUAUAAUUAAAAGUGAUUUAAUAAACCCAUAAAGUUUUGGUUUACAUUUAAUUAAAUUAAAAGUAUAAUUUUACUAAAUUAAACCACCUAGUAUUUUAAAAGUGUAAAAUACACCCUAUACUAUAUAUAACAUUAAAAGUCUAACAUUAUAUAUAUAUAUGAGUAAAAGUCAGUCUUACCGUUAGUAGGCCUCAUUCACGAAGCUGGUCUAUAAGGGGUGUUUAAGGAAAUUGCCUAUAAAAUGGCGAUUGAAUGGGUAUCCACUCUUACCCACCGCACUCUUGACUAGUGGAGGGUCGUUAGCCGAACGGGUAGGAUAGGACAGAAACCUUCCAUUAUAAGUAUAAUGAAGUACAAAGUAACUAAAUGCUUAUACAAAUUCCCAAAUCAUAGUUACUUUAGGCAAAAUGUGAAAUUGUAUGCUAACCCAUGGAAUUACACUUCGUACCCUUGUGAAACGUUAGUGGAGCGUGUGUGGUUAACCAGCACACUAAUUUGGGGAUAACAUUGGUGGCGAAGGGUGGCUCGAUGCUUAUCAUAAAUCAAUGGAGCGUGUGUGGCUAACCGGCACAUUGAUUAGGUGACAGUUGCAUUGGGUGCACCACGUGAUUCGUAUGGUUAUUCACACCUUAUUUGUGAUCCUCGGCAUCCUAGUCACAAAUUGUAGGGCAUAAUCGAGAUUAAACAAUCCAUUAAAAAUUUCAAUGAAUCUUAAAAGAUCUAGGAGUUUCAAUUCAUUUAAAACUUAAACUUCCUUUUCGUUUUUCAUGGUGGAAAUUGGUAAAUCGUCAUUUACCUACCUUCAAAUAUUUUGCGACUAGAUUACGACAUCCCUCUUCUAGGUUGUAGAGUAUUAUGUUGGAUCCUAGCUUGAUGUUUCAUUUGAGUGUUACAUCAAGAAUUCGAAUCAACUUAACUUGAAUUUUCUCCCAUUUUGUAGAUGUCUAGUUCUGACAAUCAUGGUCUUCCCAAAUCCCAUGGAACAAGCUUUCAAAAUGAAGAUGAUGUUCCAUGAUAUGAUCGAGGAACAAGAGAUCAUGCUUCACUUCCUCCACCUCCUCCAAUUGUUCUCCCUAACCCACAAGUUCAAAGGCUUGAAAAGUUCAAGCUCACUCAAGCCCUAUUGGAAAUUAAGCAUGAAGAUGGAAAGUCUGUGUGUGCACACGUCUUAGAGAUGAAGUCGCACAUUGAUAGGUUAAGUAUGUUGGGUGUCGAGACCUCAAGUGAGUUGGCUGUUGACUGGGUUCUUCAGUCACUUCCUGAAUCAUAUGGUGAGUUCGUUAGAGAGUACUAUAUGAUGGACCACGACAUGACCCUCAUUGAUCUCACCUAUUUGCUUAUAGCUGCUGAAUCAGCAAUGAUUUGGCGUGCUGGUCAAGCAAAUUUGUCUGGUGAAUCAAACUCCCAAACUUCAAUGGAUGUUGAAAAUGAUGACAUUGGAGAUCCAGAAAAGGUAAACUCUGAGAUAGUCCCUUGUGUCAUUCCAAAGGAGUCCAUUUGCUUUUAUUGCCAAGAGAAGGGACAUUGGAGACAAAGCUGCCCUGUUUACCUGAGAGAUCUAAGAGAUGGGAGAGUCAACACAUAUGGCUCUACUUCAGGUAAAAUCCAUUAACUAACUCUGUAAGUUCCUAUUUUUGAUUCUUAUACAUGAUUUGAUAAGAUUACAUUUUGAUGUUUUGCAAGAUCGAAGAAAAGAAAGGAAGCUUAAGGAAGAAGCUACUGAAUCUGAUCACGAAGAAAUGGAUUUCGAUCGCAUGGAUUCAAAGAUCGGAUUUUUGAGCUGCUACUUUAGAGUUAGGGUAGAUUGCUAAGAAAUAUGUAAUAGCAUAGUUUUUCAUUUGAAUUGCAUUGUAAGGACAAUUUUUUUCGCAAUAAAAUGAAUUUUGAUUUUAUCUAAUUUAUUUAUCCUUGCAAUGGCAUGUCUGAAAAAUUGAUGUUUGAAGGUUUCUAUUAUUAGCAAUAAUGGAUUUGAUUCUUAAUUAUGUUAUUUGUGAAGAUGUCAAGAAUUUACCAAAUAGGGAGAGUUUCUCAUCGCCCAAGAUUCAAUUAGACAGAAACUUGGAAUCAUACAACUUGGUUGCGUGAUGAAUGAGAAAUUUCAUAUUUGGAUGUUGGACUAAUUCUUUGACAAAGUGUCAAGUGAAGGACUAGGAGAUCGAGUACACAAGAUUGUACGUUGAUCAAGUCCACCACAAAAUUGAUAAAGAUAUUCGUCAUGAUUUACUAAAGUUUAGUAAAUAUGGUUAUACUUAUAAGAUUGAGUAUAACUCUGAGUUGAUUGAAAGAGUUUCAAUCAAUAGCAUAAUGAAUAAGAAGAAUCUAGUAGGCAGAAAGAUAAAAGUUUAUCUAUUCUAAGAAGAAGGGAGAGUAACUUUUAUCGUGUUUUAUGAUAAGUUUUAAUGAUUAAGAACCAUGUUUCAAUUGAUCCUCUAAGCGAGUCUUAGUGAAAUUGCAUGCCUAAGAAGAGGAAUCGAGAAUUGUAGAAAUGGUUAAAAUCAAGAAGUCAAUCAUACUUCGUUCCAAUAUCAAGUCUUAGAGUCAAGAUUGUGACUUGGGUGAAAAAGUCUUAAGUAGGUUUGUAAUACUUAUCAAAUGUAGAAUAAGAAAGUUUCUUAUUCUUGUACAUUUGAAAUUGGUAAUUUGUAAUGCCUUAGAUAAAACAAAGACCAACGAGGACCAAUUAUGUGAAGUGUUUUGUCUUGAUAAGAACUACACUAACUCUUGAAUAUUUGUUUUGUCUAGGAAAGUUUCCUGACAAGAGAAUCAUAUAUGUCAAGAGGUCAGUGGGAGUUGUAAUGAUCUUGAAAAAAGUUUCAAGAACAAAUCAAGAAUAAACCUUAUCGAUCAUCACUAGCACACGACGUGAGGUUUACAACCUAUCGUGUUGACAUUAUUUUGUUCUUGUUGAUGGGUUUUAGUCAUAAGACAUCCUAUGUGCUCAAACAAACCCUAAUGCUUGGAUCUAGGUCUCUCUAUUGUACAUGCUUUGAAUCCAAGACAAUAAACCCUAAUUCUAGCAUAUGGAAAUCAAUAUUAACAUAUAAAUGGGUUUAAGAACAUACCUUGAUUGUUAUAUAGCAAUAACAAUCCUAAUCCUCCUUGAAUUGACUUUGGAAGGCUUAGAGUCACAAGUGUCACUCCUCUAAUGGCUUACAAACACCAUAAGCAAGUGGAGAAGGUAUAAAGAGAGAGGAGNNNNNNNNNNNNNNNNNNNNNNNNNNNNNNNNNNNNNNNNNNNNNNNNNNNNNNNNNNNNNNNNNNNNNNNNNNNNNNNNNNNNNNNNNNNNNNNNNNNNNNNNNNNNNNNNNNNNNNNNNNNNNNNNNNNNNNNNNNNNNNNNNNNNNNNNNNNNNNNNNNNNNNNNNNNNNNNNNNNNNNNNNNNNNNNNNNNNNNNNNNNNNNNNNNNNNNNNNNNNNNNNNNNNNNNNNNNNNNNNNNNNNNNNNNNNNNNNNNNNNNNNNNNNNNNNNNNNNNNNNNNNNNNNNNNNNNNNUCGAAUUCUAAGGGAUUUACACCUCAAAUUCGUUCACCAUAUAUAUAAGAUAAUCCUUACCUUAUUUUGUAACUAUCACAUAAUUACAAUUCAGCCCCUCUAGUUUAAUUAAUUACACUUGAUCACAAAAUUAAUUCUUAAUUAAUUAUUGACCAAUAUUAAUUAAACAAAUAUGAUUUCUCCUUUAAUAUAUUAUUCUUAUAACAUAUUAAUAAAUCAUAAUAACCUCUCUCUCUUUAUUUAUUUCUCCAAUCAAGUUGCUUUGGUGAAGGCAACCCAAAAGGACCAUGCACCAUCGGGUCAAGUACAUACCAAAAUAGUUAUGGACUUAGACACUAAUCCAACACUUGUGCCAUUCCAAUUGAGUUAAUUAUGCAUGUGAGUUCUAUGAGUUCUCAUUUGAAUACAUAAAGACAAAGCAUCUUGAUCGAUGGAAAGUACAUUGAUAUGUAAGGAUAAGUUGCUAAACUACUUGGAUGACAUGGUGGGCGCUUGUGUUACCAUAAGGCUAGAAAUCAAGAAAGUUCAGUCCAUAUGAGUUUGGAUUUGUCGCAAACUUGGUUUUGGAAAAUUCACAUGGAUAGGAACACAUACACCAUAAAAUCUAUGUGUCAUAAGAUUCCCUCCUUCAUGAAAAUGAAUGCGAGGAAAUGCUUUCACUAAGAGAGAUUUUAAGAAGAUAGCAAUUGUGAAAAUUGUAUUCUCAUAUUCGAUUAUGGUUACGACAUCCCUUUCCAUAGUUCAAAUUGUGAGAUUUGGCAAUUAGUCUAAACGUUUAGGACUUAGUAACAUAAGUUCUGAAUUUGUCUAGACACACAUGUGAGCUUUCUAAGGCAAAGGUGUAUGAGUUUAAGACGCUUAGAUAAUGGCUUAUCAAAGCAUCAAGUAUUAGAAAUAUGAACUUAAGAAAUUCAAUAAGCAUUGUUUUCUGGAAGUUCAGCUGUUUUCUGAAUACAUGUCAAAGCUAGUGGGAGCAUAAAUGUUAUGCUUGUAAGGAAAUAAUCAUUGCAUUAGUGGGAUAAUAAGUGUUAUGCUUGUAUGAUUAUUAUGGCAAGUAUUACAAGUUAGCAAUAUUAAUUAUAGAAAAACAAGAGUUAUACUUUGCAAAGUCGCAAGGGUUGAAAAGUUGUUUUGCUAUAAUUAAGGAAGAGAAUAUUAUACUUCGUUUCAAAAUUUAAAGCUUAGAUUGAGAAAUUUUAAUAAAUAUCGUCAAAGGAUACAUAGUGUGCUCUCAAAUUUCGAUUAUGAUUACGACAUCCCUCUUCAUAGUUCGAAUUGUGAGAACGUGACACAUAAACUAUUAUGGCAUAAGAUUGAUAAAGUAUCAUAUCUUUAUGUAAGACAUUAUGCAUCGUGUCCCAUACGCUUCGGGUAUAGGAUCGAUUGCAAAUGCUAUAAUAUUUGAUCAUUCUAAAAUUUUCCAAUUGUCUAGCGCAUUAAGAGGGAAAAAGGACUAGAAUCGGUUUUGACUAAAAUAAUUAAACAACUAUCAAAGGACGAUACAAAGUUCACUGAGGAUUGGUCGCUUAUGAGUAGUUAGAAGUAUGGUAUUAGAUGGACCAUAUCGACAUUAUUAUGAAUAGAUAAGAUUCUAUUAAGAAGGAGUUGUCAUAUGGUAAAUAUGGAAAUGUUUCCAUACUAGAAGUUGGAUGUUGAGAGUCUAUGUCUAGAUUAGAAACUUUUAUGCAAGAAGGAUGUUCAAAGGAAUGUCAUUUGAAUGUGUGACUUCGCGUCUAUGGAAUUGUCUUGUAACAAUUUCUGAUAGGGUACUUUGUAAUUUCAUUGGCUAAGUCUUGGUGACUUUUGGGCUAUGACUUUGCGAAAGUAUCGUUGCAUAAAAUGUUAGAAUCUAACAUAUCCUAAUAGUGGCAAGAACCUUGUGUUCUUACACUAAUGAUAAGGAUUGGGAAUUGUGAAAUGAGCGUCGUUGGAAAAGUUUUCAAUUGAUGUAUUUCACAAAGUAAGGACCAUAGGAAAGAUAGUGUGCAUGCUUAGGGCAUGGGACAACUAUUGUUGUAAUUUGAGUAAUAAGUUGAUUUUCUGAAAUAGUAAAUGAUGAAUAAUGAGUAAUCAAUAUGGUGUUUAAAUAGAAGUGUUUUAUUUACUCCCACAAGUUUAGGGGCAUAUAGGAUUAAGUAUUAUUGUCGUGUUUUAGUUUGCAUGUUUUGACUUCCAGAAUAACUAGGUUAUUCGAACCUCCAUAGUCGAUCAUACUCUGGAAGUAGGUAUGAAGCAAGACUGUUAUGAAGAGUCUAUAGAUUGUCUGAAGAGUUUAGACAUAGCACAAGUUUGCUGUAGAGUUCGUGAGUGCUUUAAUAAGAUUAUAGUAUUAGAUUAUACCCACGCUCACGUGAAUCACUUCAUGGAUUAUAUCGCGAGUGAUUGUGAGUCGAUAAUAUUGUAUAUUCUUGAAACCAAGACGUGUGAGUUGUUAUUUGUUGGUCGGUUGCACAUUGAUAAUAAGUAAACGCACCAGUAACUUGGUGUUAUAAAACUUAUUGUUGUGUGUGAUUAGAUUAGUGAAUGUAAGCGAGCAUAUGAGUCGAAGUUUAUCUAUUCCUUUUACCCAAAGUAGGAUAAAAGUGAUAUAUGUGGGGCCCCUCGAUGAUUUAGUGACGACACCUAAGUGCUUGGCCAAGCCGGGACUAAGUUGAUGUGUUCAAUUGUAGUCUGUUGUCAGUCGUCAUAAAUCGGAAGUCGGGAAACAGUAUAGAGAGAAUGAUUGAAAUUCAUGUCUUUUGUCUAUACGAUAUCUUGAGAAUGGAGGAAUAUAUAAUCCCUUAUCUAGAGGACACGCUAUCUGAUAAGAUCAGAGUUGACAGCGGCUUUUGAAAGCUACGAUUGCUGAUCAGGUUCUGAAGUCAUACGGAAAAUAGUUAUUAGACUUAUCCAAGUGGGAGACUGUUGGAUUAGUGUCUAAGUCCAUAAUUAUUUUGGUAUGUACUUGACCCCAUUAUGAGCAUGGUCCUUUUGGGUUGCCUUCACCAUAGAAAUAUGUAGGAUGAAUUAAGGAGAGAAAGGCUUAAUUAUGAUUUAUUAAUAUAUUAUAAGAAUAAUAUAUUAAAGGAGAAAUCAUAAUGUUUAAUUAAUAUUAGUCAAGAAUUAAUUAAGAAUUAAUUUUGUGGCUAAAAGAGAUUAAUUAAACUUAAGGGACUUAUUGUGUAAUUAUAAGAUAAUUACAUAGAUGGGCUUAUGGACUCCAUAGAAGGUGGAGUGAACGAAUUCUAUGGGGAAACCCAUUAGAAAUCGUCCAAGGCUUCUAAAGAAGGAGUCCAUGGGCUGCUUAGGGAUUAAGCAGUCAAACUAGGGUUUCCUUGUUAGAUAACCCUAAUUGCCUAAGUAUAUAAGGAGCCCUUAGGCACCAAAAACGUGGCUAACUGAUUCCUUAGGGUUUCUAGACGUUUUUUGGGUGCCUCCUCUCUUCCCCUUCUUCAUCUAGUUGCUUAGUGGUGUUUGUGAAUCCAUUAGAGGUGUAACACUUGAGGCACUAAGCUUUCUAAAGCUAAGGAUUGAUUGUUAUUGCUAUAUAACAAUCUAAGGUCAGAUCUAAACUCUAUUUUAUGUUAAUAUGAUUAAUUGUAUGCUAGAUCUAGGGUUUAUAGCUUCGGAUAUUCAAUUGCAUGUUCAUUAGACAAACUAGAUCCAAAAGCUAUUAGGGUUUGCAUGUACACCAUAGGAUUGAUGUUUUGCUUAAAACCCAUCAGACUUUCCAAUGGAAGGAGCCUUCCUCUUUUUACCCUUACCAUGUCCAAUUGCUAGGACAGUGGCAAUAGCAGUAAGAGUAGGAGUAAUAGCAAUAGAUUUGCCUUUCAUGUUGCUUUCAGCAGUUCUGAGGAGUCCCUAAAGCUUGCUAAGAGUGACCUCCUCCUUUUUCAUAUGAUAGGUCAUACGAAACUGAUCAUAACAAGGAGGCCGGGAAUGAAGAAUAAUAUCAAUAGCUAAUUCUUCAUCAAAGUUGACAUUCAAUUUUAGCAAGCGGUCCACAUAUCUUUGCAUUUUUUGCAAGUGGCCCGUGAUGGACUCUCCAUCCUUCAUUUUAGUGGUGAUCAUGGAGGCUAUGAUCUCAUACCUCUCAUGCCGAGCUGAUUGAUGGUAUCUUUCCAUCAAAUCUUGGUGCAUUUCAUAGGGCCAGAAGUCCUCAUAGGACUUUUGUAGCUUAGCAGACAUGGUAGCUAUCAUUAUACACGACACUUUUUUUGCGUCCCUCUCAUGAACCCGGUACUCCUCAAUUUGCUCAGGAGUAGCAAUUUGCUCAUCAAUCUCCUUCAGCUCCUUGUCAGGGACAUAUUCUUUGUCCUUAUAUCGAAGGGCCAUGCGAAUGUUUCUGAUCCCAUCGUUAAAUUUGGAUCCAUUAAAGAUGGUUCUCCCUACUAAGUUCAUUAGGGAGAAAGAGCCUGAAGGAUUUGAGCCUAAAGCAUUGUUUCGAAUAGACAUCUGUAAAAGAAAAGGAAAAAUGUUUAGAUUAGAUGAGAAUCCUUAAUCUAACACCCAAAUGAGAUAUUAAGGCUAGGAUACAACACAAUAUUCUACAAUUGCGAAGAGGGAUGCCGUAAUCUAAUUGUAAAAUAUUUGAAGGUUGGUAAAUGAAGAUUUACCAAUUUCCACCAUAAAAAACAAAAUAGAUUAUUAAGUUUUAAUUGGAUUUGAAAUUCCUAGAUCUUUGAGAUUCAUUGAACUUUCAAUGACAUGUUUAAAUCUCGAUUUUGUCUUCUCAAGUUUGUGACUGGGAUGCCGAGGAUCACAAACAAGGUGUAAAUAACCAUGCAAAUAUACUUGGUACUCUUAAUGUUAAAAAUCACCUAAUCAAUGUACUAGUUAACCACACACGCUCCAUUGAUCUAUGAUUAACAUUAAGCUACCCUUUGCCACUCUUUAUAAGUCCUAAAUUAGUGUGUCGGUUAACCACACACGCUCCAUUAACGACUUAAUAAAGUGCAAAGUGUAAUUUCAUGGACUAGCACCAUUUCACAUUUUUCCUAAAGUAACUAAGAUUGGGAAUUUAAUAAAAGUUUAGUUACUUUAUAAUUUCAUUAUACUUUUAGCAAGAAUUGAUGUCUUAUCCUACCCGUUCGGCUAACGACCCUCCACCAGUCAGGAAGCGGUGGGUGAGAAUGGACACCCAUUAAACUGUCAUUUUAUAGGCAGUAACCUGAUACCCUCCUUAUACAUCGACUUCGUGAAUGAGGCCUACUAACGGUAAGACUGACUUUAUCUUAUAUAUAUAUCAAGGUUGCAGAAAUCGCUCGACGGUAGCUCGGCGGUGGACUGGGGUCAAGGGAUUAAUCGGGUAGACGGGGAUUAAUCGGGGACCAUUAAUUAUUAAAAAAUUAAUAAAUAAAACAUUAAUCCUAAGAAUAUAACAUUAUAUCUAUUAAAAAGUUACUAAAAAUUAAUAAAUAUACCAUUAUAACAUGAUACUAUGAUUACAAAAUCCCUUUUGAUCCCUAAUACAUCAUUUCUAAAUAACCAACAAUUGCAUAUGGAUCCAAGUCUGCAUAAAAUGGGAAGAAAAAAGUGUUAUGAACAAUGGGUUCCAAUAGCAUCGGGAAGAGAUGUGGACCUGCAACAUGUUGUCUACUGCAUUUGGAACUUUGUGAAUGUUAAGGGAAUUAAAUAGCAGGAGGCUGUGGAUAUGUGGGAAUUCCAUGAUUAAUGAUUCGAUCCUGAUUAUUGCUAUAUAACAUACAAGAAGCGGCGACUGUUGUUGAAGCUUCAGAAGGCGAAGACUGGUUUAGCUUCGAGGAUGACGAUUGACGGACUGUGAUGAUGUGAAUGGAAGAAAAAGACGGUGUCAGAGGAGGGACAGAUGGUAUCGAAGAAGAAUAUGGCAUCGUUUUAGAAGCAUCAGUUCAUGCUUUCUUUCGUUCCUUCAGACUACAGAAAGAAUUUCAAAAAGGAAAAGAAAUGAAUGCGAUGUAGUGAGAAGAACCCUAACAGCAAAUCUAACAAUUUGAAACUUUUUCCCUUAAAGGUUUUUUUACCGAUUAGGGCUCCUAGGCCCGCCUACACCCGAUAAUCUCCGUCUUUGACCGAUUUUGACCACGUCCGAUAAUAGGGUCCGAUUAGCUAUAAACGUCGACGGUGGAGGACUGCCAAGCGCCUAGGCGCCGAUUAAUCGGCCACCUAGGCCGAUAUUUGCAACACUGAUAUAUAUAUAUAUAUAUAUAUAUAUAUAUAUAUAUAUANAUAUAUAUAUAUAUAUAUAUAUAUAUAUAUAUUUAUAUCAACAUUUAAUAUUAUAAUAGUAUAAGGGCAGAAUUUUAAUCUUUUUAAAACUCUAGGGUUUUGGAAUUAAAUGUCUUAUUAAUGUGACUUUACAAAUUCUAAAACUUGAGGGCAAGUUUUGAAACUUUUCAAGACCUUUCAUAUUUAUAACCUAUGAACCAUUAUGAGUUUUAAUACCAUGAAUGUGACUUUUCAUAUAACUUGAGGACAAGUUACAAUAACACAUUACAUUAACAAUCAGAUCAAAUUUUGGGAUCAAACAUAAUUAUCACAUAAUUAUUUUUCCUAUUGAUCUAAACAAACUCAUAACAAGACAAUUCAUAUCAAAUAAUACAUAUAAUUAGUUUAUUAUCUAAACAUUUGACAAUUGCCUUUUAAAUGGAUGAAGACUAUCAUUACCAAUUCAAAAAAUAUAAUUUUUAUGAUUACAAAGUUGUUUGUGGUAACGACUCUAUCCAUUUCUAGCCAAGAACUCGAAGUUUCUGCACACGGGAGCACCGACUCGUCAAGUACAUGAACUGGACUCGCCGAUUUGAUGUCUUAUUGAGUGGACUCGUUGAGUCUGUUCAUGGACUUGGCGUGUUCAUCUAUCAGAAUGCAGAAAAGUCAAUUUUUCAACAUUAAAAACUAGUGUGCAUCAACUAUAAAAGAAAGUAAUCCUAGGCUCUGAUACCACUGUUGAGUUUUCAGCACUAUAACACUCCUAUGGUGCACAUGCAACCCUAGAUUCUUUGGAACUAUGUUUUCUCUAAUUAUACAUGCAAUUUUCAAAUUUCCAAAGCAUAUAACUUAACUAGCAUACAAUUGAAUAUAACAACUAGUUAGAUAGCUUACCUCUUGUGUAGUUCUUGGCCUUUGGAAGCUUGAGCACCUCAAAUGUAAUGUCUCUAAUGUGUCACAAACACCAAAUGCAAAAGAGGCUUUUAGAGAAUAGGUUUAGCUAGUAUAAUAUCGACUCUCACACACAUGUAGAGAGGGGGUUCUGAUUUUGACACAAGGGGGUUCAAUAUAUAGUGUUACAAACUCUAGGGUUUCAUCCAUGUAACCUUAAUGCACCAUGACCUUCCAUAUCCUUAAGGCUCCAUAGGUUAAAGCUCCAUGGACUAUCCAUGAACCACUUAGCUCACCCUAAUAGAUUUUUGGCUCACACUAUAAGAAUGAUUGAUUUACAUAAUCAACCCCUUUGAUUUAAUUAGUCUCUUUUGAUCACAAAAUUAAUUCCAAAUUAAUUCUUGAUCAAUACUAAUUAUGAUUUCCCAAUUAUUAUAUUAUACUUAUAAUAUAUUAAUAAAUCAUCAAAAAACCUUAUUCUCAAAAGGUCCAUCCUAUCAAAUUGCACUGAUGAAGGCAACCGAAAAGGACCAUGCUACAAUUGGGUCGAGUACAUACUAGAUAUAGUUAUGGGCUUAGACACCAAAUCCAACAGUUUCAUUGCGGUGGACCAUUACGAAAUUUGGCUAUUUCCAAAACAAAUUUUACCAGUCGAGUGUUUACAACGUUCUUCAAAUUUAUUACAUAUAUGCAAGGUUCUAAAAAACUUGCUGUAAUGGCGUACCAUGGUUCCAAGGCUAGUACUUGCCACUAAACUUUGAAAAAUUGCCGCCUUAAGUCAUAUAUGUAUAUAAAAAUGAAAAUAGUUGAAAAUACAUAUAAAAUUAUUAAUUAUAUACAAAACUGCAGCCUUAAGUCACGCCUUACAAACGAUGUGGCUCGCCAAGGCUCGUAAAAACUUGAGGUCUAACAUUGUCGUCAAGUCACACCUUAUGUUAUUUAGAAGGGAAUAUGACUUAUUAAGGUAAUUAACUUCUCGGUUUGUUUAUAUAUGGGUAACUAUUUUUUUAUACAUCUAUCUAACGAACAUUUUGGCAGUGUUCACAUAUGACCAUUAUGAUUGGUUGUACAACCAGGUUACAUCCAAUCGUAAUAGUCAUAUGUGACCACUUCCAAAAAGUUUGUUACCUAGAUAUAUAAAAAAAAAAUAGUUACCCACAUGUGAACAAAUCGAAAAGUUAAUUUUUUUAUUUUUUAUUUUACUUUGUAAUUUUGAUUUGGUAUAAAAUAUAACCUAAAUGGUAAAUAUUUUAAAACCAUACCAUUUUGGCAAAUAUCAUUUUAAAAUACAUUACUUUGGUAAAAAAAAAAUAGAUUUGACAUGGAAAAAAAAAAACACAUCGUCGUAUUAUAACAUUUUAUUGUUUAAAAUAUUAAAUAUAGAAUUUUAAAUUGACUAGAGAAUAAAAGUAUCCGAAAUGAAGACCAAUAAUAUGAAGAAGAGCAUCAAAAUCCACAACUAAAUCAAUUGAUUUUGGUUCUCUUAAAGUAUGAAGAAUCAAAUCCAGAAUGUUGUUGGUUCUCUUAUGAUGUAAUUUGAUUCUCAUGAGUUGAAAAUAAUCGACAAAUUGUUGCCACAAAAGGGGGUAAGACAAUCUUUCUAAUGCUAGAUUUUUAUUCGAUUUAGAGAAAUCCAUAGAGAUCGCACCGUUUGAUGAGUUAAAGCUUAGAAUGUUGUUAAUAGAAUGUUGUAGUGUCGGUGCAUCGGAGUUGAAUGACUGAAAAAAGAAGGGAUGGUGAAUAUGUCGAUGUCACUGAAGAUGGAGAUGAAAUAGAAGUUGAGGAGGAUGAGAGAUGAGAUGGUGACUAGUGGGAUCCAGAUUAAAAUUUUCAAAUAUGGUAUUAGGUUUAGGGUGAGAAGAUAAAGAUAUACGGAGUCUAUUAACUUUUUUUAAAUAUUUAAAAAAUAAAUACAUAUAUAAAAAAAGUUAAUUAAAAAUUAAAAAAUAAACUAAUAAGGGCACAAUAGUCAAGACCAAACACGCAACAAAAAUAAACAAUAUAGACCAUCCAAGUUUUAAAAAAAAAAAGUUAGGGAUCAAACGCGUAAAUUACACGAAACUAUCGGGACCAUUCGUGUAGUUUAACUAUUUUUUAUACAUGUAGAUUAUGAACUUUUUAUAAAUUUAUAAAUGUUCACGUAUAUAAUCAUUACGAGCGGACGCAACUGAUUUCAUCCGGUCAUAACAGUAUAAACACUUAAGAUUCAAAAAAAUUCUCUUAGAUGUUAAUAAAAAAAAUAGUUAACUUGCAAGAUUAAGGCAUAUUCCCUGUUUAGAACCUUGCAAGAUUAAGUCAUAUUCCCUAUUUAUUAUAUUCUUAGAUAUUAAAAAACAGUAAAGUUAAUUAAGUCAUAUUCCCUAUUUAGAACCUUGCAAGAUUUGUGAAGAACUGUUCAUAAUUUUUUUUUAUCGAAAUUUUGUAGAUUUAUACAUCUUUAACUGAUUGAAUAUGUCCAAAACUGGUAAAAUGAAAUGCAAAAUCCUAGAUCCAAGAUUAUGUUAUCCCAUUCAAAAAAGUAAAGAAGAUGUCGACAAAGAAGAGAUUUACAUACAUAAGACGGUCAUCAUUAACGUUAAAUAUUCAGAUUACAUGGCGACAUAAUAAUAAUAAUAUGCAGAUCCACAAGCAGCACCCUUAUUAACAACAACAACAACAACAACAAAAAAAAAAAAAAAAAAAAAAAAAAAAAAAAAAAAAAAAAAAAAGUACAUCGACUACAUGCUAUGAAUACAUAAAAUUACAUAGCAACCAUAUCACAACACAGUGUUAGUAGAUCUGCAACCACGUUAGGAUAUUUUCAGUGAUGGUGGACAUGUGGGUGUGGCUUCUGUGGUGGUGGAGGGUGGUGAACCACAGGUGGAGGAGGAUGGUGAACGACUGGUGGUGGCGGGUGGUGGACAACUGGGGGAGGUGGGUGGUGGACGACCGGUGGAGGUGGAUGGUGAACCACUGGAGGUGAUGGUUGAUGAUGGUGGGGAGGUGAUCUUGGCAUCUUGAUCUUUUUGUCUUUUUUGAAUUAAAAGGUUUCGAAUUUGUGAAUUGUGAAUUUGUGCUGGUGAUAGUUGGGUUAGAGAGAGACGGUGAGUUUAUAAUGGAUAAAAGUCAAACUUAAAGUCUAAGAAACGUGUAGAUGUGGAUGUGGCAGUGUUAGGUACGUACCUUAGCCAUGAAUUGAAAAUAAUGUCCAAAUUCAUUUCAACCCAUAACUUUUUUAUAAUUUGUACCUUUUUAGAUGACAUCUAAAUAACAUAAUAUAUAAUAUACUUUUGAAUGUCGACAUAAAAAAUAUCUAGUCUGCAGAAUAUUUC